AGUCUACACUGCAUUGGGAUGGGUGAUCAAAGCCAACCCAGGGCCUUGAAAGGAACAGGAGGUUACUCAAAUCACGGGGGCGUCAGGGACCUUUGGUAAAAACAAGCACAAUGGACCAGAAAACCAGUCAACAUUCCGCAUCUGGUGGCAGGGCUGGACAGAAAACUUGAAAGUAAAGCCCUCUGGUGCCUCAGUCUUUGUUGUCCCAAAGAAUUCUUCCAGCUUCGGUCUCCAAUAAGAAGCACAAAUUAAUAAUUUGAACUUUCUUAUUUUUCUUCACUUGCUGAUAGAUGAUGAUUACA
rnacentral:lncRNA from 1 species